CGAAUGAUCGCGGACGCAGCGCCGAAAGGCCGCGCCUGAGGAAAGUCCGGGCUUCACAGGGCAGGGUGCCGGGUAAUACCCGGUGAAGGUGACUUCAAGGAAAGUGCAACAGAAAAGAACCGCACGGCUUGUCCGUGUAAGGGUGAAAAGGCGAGGUAAGAGCUCACCGGGGCUGUGGUAACACGGCCUGUUCGUGUAAACCCCACCUGAAGCAACACCGUCGCGGAGCUACGGUUGGCCCGACCGCUCCUUUGGUGGCUAGAGCCGUACAGUAAUGUACGGCCCAGAUAGAUGAUCAUUCCAGACAGAACCCGGCUUACAGGCUUACUUGU
rnacentral:RNase_P_RNA from 1 species